rnacentral:rRNA from 1 species
UACGUAGGCAGCAAGCGUUGUUCGGAAUUACUGGGCGUAAAGAGUGUGUAGGCGGUGUUCUAAGUCUGUUGUGAAAUCUCCCGGCUUAACUGGGAGGGUGCGGCGGAAACUGGAAUGCUAGAGGAUGGGAGAGGUAAGCGGAAUUCCUGGUGUAGCGGUGAAAUGCGUAGAUAUCAGGAGGAACACCGAUGGCGAAGGCAGGUCUCUGGGCCACUACUGACGCUGAGAAGCGAAAGCAUGGGGGAGCGAACAGG